UCUCAUUCUUCUCUUUCCUGUCACCAUGUGAAGGAUAUGCUUGCUUCCUCUUCUGCCGUGAUUGUAAGUUUCCUGAGGCCUCUCCAGCCAUGCUGAACUGCUUAUAAACAGAAGGGACUUGCCUUGUCUCAGAUGAGACUUUGGACUUAGAAUUUUGGGUAAUGCUGCAAUGAGCUGAGACCUGCACAGAUGGAAAGAUGCAGAUAAGAAACGUGCGAAGCCACAAGAAAGCCAAGUAGCCUGGGAAAAAGUGGUCAUUGAGCCAUGAGCAAAAAAUAACACUUGAUCCUGUUGGUGCCACCUGACGGCAGAGAUGGCUGAGGACCCCCGAGCAUAAGUCCAGAGAGCUCCCCUGCAGCCCCACCCUGACUUUCCAGGAUGAGCCUUCUCUAGAAAGCCACUGCUCAUUCAGAAAGUGAAGAACGCCUGUGUUUCCAACACCAACCCCAGCUCUGCUGACGUCCCAGGAGGGCAGGACCACGCGUGACGGAACACCAGGCAGGGGAGACUCAAAUUUAUAAGCUACAUGAGAUGUUUUGAAACAGGCACACAAUGAAUAAUCACAUCAAGGUAAAUGAGGUAUCCAUUAUGUCAAGCAUUUAUCAUUUCUUUGUGUUACAAACAUUCCAGUUAUAUGUGUAGUUAUUUUAAAAUGCACAAUAAGUUGUUGUUGACUGUAGUCGCCCCAUUGUGCUAUCAAAUAGUAGAUCUGAUCUUAUUCAUUCUAGCUAACUAUAUUUUUGUAUCCAUUAACCAGCCCCACUUCUGACUUCUCCGACUUCCAUUCCCAGCCUCUGGUAACCAUCAUUCUACUAUCUAUCUCCAGGAAGUCAAUUGUUUUAAUUUUUAGUUGCCACAAAUGAGUGAGAACACACAGUUUAUCUUUCUGUGUCUCUCUUAUUUCACUUAACAUAAUAUACUCCAGCUCCGUCCAUGUUGCUGCAAAUGACGGGAUCUCAUUUUUUUUUUUUCAAUUGCUGAAUAGUACUCCAAAACAGUGUGUAUGUGGUAAGUGCUGACAUAUGUAAACACCACUGAAGUCAUCAGCAAAAUCAAGAUAAUGAACAUGUGUCAAUCCCAAAAACUUUCAUCUGUCUUCUUUGUAUUUCGUUUCUCCCAUCCUUCUACCCCCAUCCCCCAUCCCCAGGCAAAACUAAUCUGCUUCCUUUAUUUACUGUCAGUUAGUUUGCAUUUUCUAGAAUUUUGUAUAAAUAGACUCAUAUAGAAUGUACUCUGUUUUGGUCUAGUUUCUUUAAUUUAGCAUAAUUAUUGUGAGAUGCAUCUAUGUUGUUGCAUACAUCUUUUUUUUUGCUGAGUAGUAAUCUAUUGUAUGAAUGUAACACCAAUUUACUAUUUUGUUGGUAGAUAUUUUAGUUGUUUCCAAGUUUAGGUUAUUACAUAUAAAACUACUAUGAAUAUUCAUGUUUAAGUCAUUGUGUGAAAACAUGCUUUUAUUAUUUUUGAAUAUAUACCUAGAAGUAAAAUUGUUGGAUCAUAUGGUUAGUAUAUGUUUACUUUUGUGGGAUAAUGUCAAUGUCUUAGUAUAUAUUCUAGCUGUUGUUUUUUCUUGUUACUUUACUUUUUAAUCAAAAUAAUCUGUCAAUAACUUUAGAGAAGUACGAUUUUCUUCUAGAAUUCCCUAUAAUUUUUGCUUUAUAUUUUACUAUAUUUUUUCUGUAUAUAUAUUUGCUAUAUUUGCCAAAAUAUGUCUUGUAUAUUGAAGUAAUGUUAGUUACCCACAUGGUCAGAGCAUUACAUUGUGUUGUAAUGCUUUGCCAAUUUUUUUCUUUUAUUUGUCCAUAUGUCUGUUUUGCUUGAUAUUAAUAUAACCAACUUUCAUUUACUUUAUAUAUAAUUUCCAUUCUUUGACUUCAAAACUCUCUGACUUUAUGUUUUUACCUCUUGUAAAGGUAUAUAGCUGGAACUUAUUUAUCAGAGCAUCUAGUACUAAGAGCUUUUCUGUAAGAGUGAUUGCCAUUUAUUUGUGGGUAAUAUACUGCUACUCUCUCAUAGCUUUGAACAGUUUCUCUCUUAGCUCUUCCUAUCUUUCUUAUUCUCUGUCUUGCUUUCACUUUUGUUCCUGUUCUUUCUUUCUCUCUGUGUCUGUUUUCUGUUUCCUACUUUAUUAUAAUAUAUUUAAAUAUAAAUUCUGAAUAAUUCUCAGUUAUUAUCAUCUUAAGCAUUUAUUUUUCUACAGCCUCUCUGUCAUUUUCUUUUGGUCCUAUUUAGAUAAAUGUUAGAUCUUUUUAACACAUUUAAAUAUAUCUCUUUUUUAUGUCAUAAUUUCUUCUGAUAGAAAUUGUGUGAUAUUUUCAACUAUUUUUUCCAUUUCAAUUAUCCCUUUUUCAGCUAAAUAUAGACUGCUGUUUACCUAUCUCUAUCAGCUAUCUAUGUCUACCUAUUAAUGUGUCUGUCUCUCUAUAACAUAUGCAUGUAUAUAUUUCAAUGGAACUGCAUUUUAAAAAUAUAUAUUUUGUUCUUUUCUGAGAUGUAUUGUUUCAUUAUGUCACGCUUUUUCCCUAAGGUUUCAAUUUUUAUUUUACAUUUUAAUGAAUUUUACAUUUAUUUUGUAUCUUAUUUGAGUGAUCUUGAUAUUACAACAUGGUCAUGGGGUUAUAAAUCAGAUGUGUCUUUUAACUCACU